rnacentral:lncRNA from 1 species
UUCGCGACCAGAUGAAUUAUCAAACACCAAAAUACAUUUAAUAUACUCAUAUCGAAAUGCAGCAGAAUAAACCAACCAUUAAAACCGAAUCAAGAGAUGAAAACACCAAAAUACAUUUAAUAUACUCAUAUCGAAAUGCAGCAGAAUAAACCAACCAUUAAAACCGAAUCAAGAGAUGAAGUUCAAAGGAAAAUCCAACCGUAUCUACAGCGUCAGCUCGCCCUUUUCUUAGGAACCGAUGACCCCGAAUCGUGCUUAAACUUUGGCUCUGUGUUCAACUCCGCUUCAGCUCUAAUCUGAAUCACGAAUCUCGUCGGUAUGGUUGCCGGUUCGUGUCGUCAAUCUGCGUUUUAACCAAGAACCGAAUGGAACCCUUCGAUACCACAAUCAACC